CGGGGAGAGGAGCUCAGGAAAAGCAGAGGGUAAAGAUGCCCUGGCGGUUCUCUUUUCCUUGCUGACUGGCCAUUUGGAUGGCCAAGUCAGAAAUUGGAGUAAAAGGAAAAAUAAUGGAUUUAGUGAUUGGUACUCAGAUUCAGAGAAGGCAGAACUAAAGUCUAAAUAACUAAAUGAACAGAAAUCACAGAGAGGUCUCAUGUCAACAACUACG